CUGACCAGGGAUUGAACCUGGGCCCAUAGCAGUGAAAGCGUGGAGUCCUAACCACUGCACCGCCACACCAGGGAAUUCCCUUGGGUAAGUUUUGGACACAGGCUUUUGCUAGUUUCUGUGGCCAUACAUGGAUAACUUAGUUUAAUUUAGCUUCAGUGUUAGGCUUGCACCUGUGUUGUCGUGUGUGAGAAAAACACUGACCUUCAAAUAGUGAGAAUCCUAGCCUUAGAUCAGUUAUGGAAUUUCUGUAUGACCCUGGGAAAGUCCUUUCUCCACUCUGGGUUCAAGUUACACAUCUGUAAAAUGAAACAAUUGUUUGAGAUUUCUUCCAUCUCUGAAUUGAGGUUCAUUAACAUAUGCCUCUUUUUUAGGAGCAGUAGGAGAUGAGUUCAAGUUUUCCCCAGUGUUACUGAAACUGACAGGUCAUCAUGCUUCAGUUUCUGGCCAGAAUCUUUCUUCUGCAGCCCCUGUUGGCUAUCAGCCCUAAUCCCUCCCUCCAGCGCUGUCUGGUCAACUGCAUUUUCUCUCUUCCCUAGCAUGUCCUCAGAAUCCUUCCGGCAGAGUGAGUGCAGGAGCUGCAAAGAACAUCUAAAGGGUCCAAGAGAAGUUCUUGAUCUGAGCACUUCCUGUCUCAAUAUUUAUUGUCUACCAAACACAGUUAAUCCGCCCCAUCUUGCAGAGUGACAGAGGAGACCUGACACCUGCUCAUUUUGCUUUUACUGAGUGGGUCUCCCUGGAGACAGGUGGUAGAUUGUACCUAAUGAUGACUGUGAGGUCUCCUGGUAUGAAGAAAACACACACACACAAACACAAACACACACACAUUCUAGCUUCAAAGCCCAGACCAAGCUGGUAACAAUGGGUUCUGUCUCUAAUUAGAUGGUCAAGAACAUGCUCCAGUCAGUCCUUGAAUCCACAGAAUCAAACCAGCGUCUCAUCGUGGGGAGCGUCAUUAGCAUGAGCGUCAUCGACAUCAUCAUUACCAUCAUCAUCACCAUCACGCUAGUGGAAACACAGUUCUGUCCAACAAAUAAUAAUUGAGCCUUGACUCUGUUCUGGACACUGGAAUACAUGCCGGGGGAGAGAGAGCAAAAUGAACUUGUUCCAUCACGAGACGCUCCCAAACUUCUCAUGCCAUCAGGUUCAGGCUUGAAGUCCAGGAUCUCGUCUUUGGUAUCAUUUCCAGUUUCAGGUAUACAGCAAAGUGAGAGAUUGGUUCAAGAUGGCAGAAUAGGACGUGUGCUCACUCCCUCUUGCGAGAGCACUGGAAACACAACGAACUGCUGAACAAUUAUUGACAGGAAGACACUGGAACUCACCAAAAAAGAUACCCCACAUCCAAAGACAAAGGAGAAGCCACAGUGAGACGGUAGGAGGGGCGCAAUCACAAUCAAA